UACGUAGGUGGCAAGCGUUGUCCGGAUUUACUGGGCGUAAAGAGCGCGCAGGCGGUCGGAUAAGUCGAAUGUGAAAGCCCCUGGCUCAACCAGGGAGGGUCAUUCGAUACUGUUCGACUCGAAGGCAGGAGAGGGAAGUGGAAUUCCGGGUGUAGUGGUGAAAUGCGUAGAUAUCCGGAGGAACACCAGUGGCGAAGGCGACUUUCUGGCCUGUUCUUGACGCUGAGGCGCGGAAGCUAGGGGAGCAAACGGG
rnacentral:rRNA from 1 species